rnacentral:rRNA from 1 species
GCUUGGCCCUAAACCUCAGUAGUUAGAUAACAAAACUACUCGCCAGAAUACUACAAGCUACAGCUUAAAACUCAAAGGACUUGACGGUGCUUUACACCCCCUAGAGGAGCCUGUUCCGUAAUCGAUAAACCCCGAUCCACCCCACCCUCUCUUGCUCAGCCUAUAUACCGCCAUCUUCAGCAAACCCUAAUGAAGGUCACAAAGUGAGCGCAAAUGCCAUUGCCGCAAACACGUUAGGUCAAGGUGUAGCCUAUGAGACGGUAAAAAAUGGGCUACAUUUUCUACCUCAGAAAAUUCCACGAAAACCCUUAUGAAAUUUAAGGGUCCAAGGAGGAUUUAGCAGUAAAUUAAGAAUAGAGUGCUUAAUUGAACCAGGCCAUAAAGCGCGCACACACCGCCCGUCGUUCUU